rnacentral:rRNA from 1 species
UAAGAGUUUGAUCGAUGGCUCAGAGCGAACGCUGGCGGCGUGCUUAACACAUGCAAGUCGAGCGNAAAGGGGGCUUCGGUCCCUGAGUACAGCGGCGAACGGGUGCGUAAGACAUGAGUAAUCUACCCUUGAGGCGGGAAUAACCCAGCGAAAGUUGGGCUAAUACCGGAUAAGCCCACAGGAGGAGACUCCAGGGGGCAAAGGUCGCUUUCUUUGGGAGGCGAUCCUUCAGGGAGGAGCUCCUGUCCUAUCAGCUAGUUGGUAGGGUAACGGCCUACCAAGGCAAAGACGGGUAGCUGGUCUUAGAGGAUGAUCAGCCACACGGGGACUGAGACACGGCCCCGACUCCUACGGGAGGCAGCAGUGGGGAAUAUUGGGCAAUGGGCGCAAGCCUGACCCAGCGACGCCGCGUGGGUGAUGAAGGCCUUCGGGUCGUAAAGCCCUGUCGGGAGGAAAGAACGCUGUGGGGGGUAAUAUCCCCCACAGGUGACGGUACCUCCGAAGGAAGCACCGGCCAAUUCCGUGCCAGCAGCCGCGGUAAUUC